GCAUUUAUUGUUCAAACAAAAUAGCCCACUUUUGUAGGCUUACUGACAGCUAAUCUGGAUUUAAAAAAAAAUUAACAGUCCAUAUUACAAAUUUGUAAGUCCAAAAUUAUACAAUGAAGUCUACACUGCUAAAGAAUCUAGCACAUUAAAAGUUGAUAAUCCGAAAAAUUCUAAAGGAACAAAAAUACAAUAAAAAUGAAGGCUUCUACUGAUUCCAGGUUUCCCUUUGAUUACUUCUUCAAAUCCAAUGUGCCAAAUCUGCAAGAACCAAAUACAGAGCUGCUUCUUACAAAGCUACUUGCCCAGGCUCCUAACAUGAGACUUCUUAUCGCUAAAUCAGCCUUGUUUCCUAAGUAUCUCAUGGAUCUGACCAUGGAAAAGGUCAGAUUCACAAGAUUACUUCAGUCAUACUACCUUGACAGACCUAAGUUAAAGCUUAAGAAUGCAAUAAUAAUAAAAGAAGAUGAUUGUUCAUGAGUUUAACCAUAUUGAAGGUUAAACACAUAACCAUUAAAGGACUUCAGCUCAAAAUCCUAGCAGCCUCAUCUUCUUUCCCAAAACAUGUAAAUCCUACCUCAAAAGCUUUCAGAACCAAUUGGUCCAACCAACUGGUGGCUAAACCAAUAAGCUACAGCUUAUGAUCAGACAGCCCAAAAGACAAAUGAAAGGAGCAUUUUGGAAAGAAAAAGAAUCAGAUGAAGGAGAGAAAGAAAGCAUUGUGAACUGAACCUAAAUAAUGUCAUAAGAUACAGCUAUUGAUGCUAUUUUGACACCACUUUUCUACAUGCUGAAAUGCACAGAAAGACACAUGAAAAAGCUGAUGAAGAGUAAUGAACAACACAUUAAUUUCUACUGUUGACACAUGCAUCCAUACACACAUAGUCAUGAAUAAUUUUAGAUUGCACAAGUAGAGUCAUUUUCAUAUCCAAAAUAUGGUUACAUACCUAGAGAUGAUUCAAACAAGACCAAAUAAAGGUCACUAGAACAGCUGAUUCUUCCAGAAUAGUGAGCAUAAACAGGCAGCCAAACAGACAACCAAAUAAGAAACUAACUUCAGCUUUCAAAAACCCAGAGAUUUCAACUCAAGAAGACCAAGAGAAGUUCUUCUACUUCAAGUCAUUUUUAGCUUGUCAGAAAACCAAAGAAGAAAGUUUUUCUCAAAGUUUGAAACUUAGUCUUUUCAGUAGA
rnacentral:lncRNA from 1 species